rnacentral:lncRNA from 1 species
AAUGACUGUAUAUUUAACUGCCAAAACAAAGAAUUUUGUUCAGCUUUAUUGUUAAUGUUAAAAUUGUUAAUUAUUAUAUAGAUCUGUUUAUUGCAAAAUUCAAUGUAUGUAAUUAUGUACUUAGAAAGAGAAAUGAAACCAUAUACAAAUUCUCUUUAUCUUAUUUAAUUUCUGUUUAUAGAAGUACAGUUUUGAUUCCUGUCUUACAGACUCAUUAGGGGUCUCGGUGGCUGAGUGGUCUAAGUAAUUGCUACUGUAAUCACUAGCUAGUCAACACUGAGGUUGUGAGUUCGAACCCCACUCCUGCAGGUGCACGUAAAGUAAAAAAGGUCCAG